GACAAAUCAUAGCUCAACUCAACCAUGAAAGGGAGGGCCUUAGCGGCAGCGGCAGCCUUAGUGCUGGCCCUUUUAACCUUAGGUGCUGAGACCAACGCAGGUGUCACGUGCUCUCCAGCCGAGUGUGAAAGUUAUUGUAAAAGCAAGGGCUACAAAGACGGAAUCUGUCGUGGGGGCGGGGUGGUACCAGAAUACUGCAUGUGCAUUAAACUUUAUACCAACUUUAUGGGUAAAAAAGGAGGUAAAGGAGAAGGAGAUGUUGAUGAUGGUGGAGGCGAAGCCUUGUUUCUAGAGGAUGAGGCGACAAUUCCUUGAUAGUGUUGAUGACUAGGACUCUUGAGAGCUGGGUCCAUGAAUAGGCAUGACUGAUAAAUUAAUUACUUAUUCACAACUUGGUAUUAUGUGCUUGAGAUUUAGUUAUUAUUAUGCAUGCCAAGUCAA